ACGGUCACCUCAUAUUGAAACACCAGCUCCCGUACGAUCACCAAAGUUAAGCAAAAUCGAACCUAUUCAGUACCUAGAUAGGUCACCAUUUGGGAAUACCAGGUGCUGUAA